UACGUAGGGGGCAAGCGUUGUCCGGGAAUCAUUGGGCGUAAAGCGCGUGUAGGCGGUUCAGUAAGUCUGCUGUGAAAGUCCAGGGCUCAACCCUGGGAUGCCGGUGGAUACUGCUGGGCUAGAGUACGGAAGAGGCGAGUGGAAUUCCCGGUGUAGCGGUGAAAUGCGCAGAUAUCGGGAGGAACACCUAUUGCGAAGGCAGCUCGCUGGGACGUUACUGACGCUGAGACGCGAAAGCGUGGGGAGCAAACAGG
rnacentral:rRNA from 1 species